UACGGAGGGUGCAAGCGUUAAUCGGAAUUACUGGGCGUAAAGCGCACGUAGGCGGUUAGUUAAGCUAGCUGUGAAAUCCCCGGGCUCAACCUGGGAAUUGCAGUUAGAACUGGCUAGCUAGAGUAUGGUAGAGGGGUGUGGAAUUCCAGGUGUAGCGGUGAAAUGCGUAGAUAUCUGGAGGAACAUCAGUGGCGAAGGCGACACCCUGGACCAAUACUGACGCUGAGGUGCGAAAGCGUGGGGAGCAAAC
rnacentral:rRNA from 1 species